rnacentral:rRNA from 1 species
UACGUAGGUGGCAAGCGUUGUCCGGAUUUACUGGGCGUAAAGCGCGCGCAGGCGGGUUGGUCAGUCUGGGGUGAAAUCUCACGGCUCAACCGUGAGGGGUCCCUGGAUACUGCCAGCCUUGAGGGGCUCAGAGGAGAGUGGAAUUCCGGGUGUAGUGGUGGAAUGCGUAGAUAUCCGGAGGAACACCAGUGGCGAAAGCGGCUCUCUGGGGGCAACCUGACGCUGAGGCGCGAAGGCGUGGGGAGCAAACGGG